rnacentral:rRNA from 1 species
GACGAACGCUGGCGGCGUGCUUAACACAUGCAAGUCGAACGGAAAGGCCAUGCUUUUGUGGGGUGCUCGAGUGGCGAACGGGUGAGUAACACGCGAGUAACCUGCCCUUGACUUUGGGAUAACUUCAGGAAACUGCGGCUCAUACCGGAUAGGAGCUCCUGCUGCAUGGUGGGGGUUGGAAAGUUUCGGCGGUUGGGGAUGGAAUCGCGGCUUAUCAGCUUGUUGGUGGGGUAGUGGCUUACCAAGGCUUUGACGGGUAGCCGGCCUGAGAGGGUGACCGGCCACAUUGGGACUGAGAGACGGCCCAGACGCCUACGGGAGGCAGCAGUGGGGAAUAUUGCAGAAUGGGCGGAAGCCUGAUGCAGCAACGCCGCGUGCGGGAUGUCGGCCUUCGGGGUGUAAACCGCUUUCGCCGGUGACGAAGCGUGAGUGACGGUAAUGGGUAAAGAAGCACCGGCUAACUACGUG